GCGGGUGUCGUAUAGUGGUUAUUACUCCAGCUUCCCAAGCUGGUAAGGAGGGUUCGAUUCCCUUCACCCGCUCCA
rnacentral:tRNA from 1 species